rnacentral:rRNA from 1 species
CAAGUCGAACGGGACUUUCUUUGGUAGCAAUACCGGAGAAAGUUUAGUGGCGAACGGGUGCGUAACACGUGGGCAAUCUGCCGAGAAGUGGGGAAUAGCUCGCCGAAAGGCGAAUUAAUACCGCAUGUGAUCAGGGAAGACAUCUUUCCGACAUCAAAGCCGGGGCAACCUGGCGCUUCUUGAUGAACCCGCGGCCUAUCAGCUAGUUGGUGAGGUAACGGCUCACCAAGGCUAUGACGGGUAGCUGGUCUGAGAGGACGACCAGCCACACUGGAACUGAGACACGGUCCAGACACCUACGGGUGGCAGCAGUCGAGAAUUUUUCUCAAUGGGGGAAACCCUGAAGGAGCGACGCCGCGUGGAGGAUGAAGGCUUUCGGGUUGUAAACUCCUGUCAUUUGAGAACAAGGUGCACAUGUUAACUGUAUGUGCAUUGAUAGUAUCAGAAGAGGAAGAGACGGCUAACUCUGUGCCAGCAGCCGCGGUAAUACAGAGGUCUCAAGCGUUGUUCGGAUUCAUUGGGCGUAAAGGGUGCGUAGGUGGCGCGCUAAGUCAGGUGUGAAAUUUCGGAGCUUAACUCCGAAACUGCAUUUGAUACUGGCGUGCUUGAGGACUGGAGAGGGGACUGGAAUUCAUGGUGUAGCAGUGAAAUGCGUAGAGAUCAUGAGGAAGACCAGUGGCGAAGGCGGGUCUCUGGACAGUUCCUGACACUGAGGCACGAAGGCCAGGGGAGCAAACGGGAUUAGAUACCCCGGUAGUCCUGGCAGUAAACGGUGCACGUUUGGUGUGGGAGGAUUCGACCCC